GACGAACGCUGGCGGCGUGCUUAACACAUGCAAGUCGAACGAAGUGGCGAACGGGUGAGUAACGCGUAAUCAACCUGCCCUUCAGAGGGGGACAACAGUUGGAAACGACUGCUAAUACCGCAUACGGAAGGAGGGGAUUGCGUCGGAUUAGCUAGGUGGAGGGGUAACGGCCCACCAAGGCGAGGAUCAGUAGCCGGUCUGGGAGGAUGAACGGCCCCAUUGGGACUGGGAACCGGCCCAGACUCCUAAGGGAGGCCGCAGUGGGGAAUCUUCCGCAAUGGAGGAAAGUCUGACUGAGCAAAUCCGCGGGAGUGAUGACGGCCUUCGGGUUGUAAAGCUCUGUUAAUCGGGACGCGGUACCGGAAUAGAAAGCCACGGCUAACUACGUGCCAGCAGCCGCGGUAAUUC
rnacentral:rRNA from 1 species